rnacentral:rRNA from 1 species
UACGGGGGGGGCAAGCGUUGUUCGGAAUUACUGGGCGUAAAGGGCUCGUAGGCGGCCAACUAAGUCAGACGUGAAAUCCCUCGGCUUAACCGGGGAACUGCGUCUGAUACUGGAUGGCUUGAGUUUGGGAGAGGGAUGCGGAAUUCCAGGUGUAGCGGUGAAAUGCGUAGAUAUCUGGAGGAACACCGGUGGCGAAGGCGGCAUCCUGGACCAACACUGACGCUGAGUGAGCGAAAGCCAGGGGUGCAAACGGG